UACGUAGGGUGCAAGCGUUAAUCGGAAUUACUGGGCGUAAAGCGUGCGCAGGCGGCUUUGCAAGACAGAUGUGAAAUCCCCGGGCUCAACCUGGGAACUGCAUUUGUGACUGCAUGGCUGGAGUGCGGCAGAGGGGGAUGGAAUUCCGCGUGUAGCAGUGAAAUGCGUAGAUAUCGGUAGGAACACCAAUGGCGAAGGCAGCUUGCUGGCAUAUUUCUGACGCUAAGGCACGAAAGCGUGGGGAGCGAACAGG
rnacentral:rRNA from 1 species